GGGUUGUGAGGUUAAGCGACUAAGCGUACACGGUGGAUGCCCUGGCAGUCAGAGGCGAUGAAGGGCGUGCUAAUCUGCGAUAAGCGCCGGUAAGGUGAUAUGAACCGUUAUAACCGGCGAUACCCGAAUGGGGAAACCCAGUGUGACUCGUCACACUAUCAUUAACUGAAUCCAUAGGUUAAUGAGGCGAACCGGGGGAACUGAAACAUCUAAGUACCCCGAGGAAAAUAAAUCAACCGAGAUUCCCCCAGUAGCGGCGAGCGAACGGGGAGGAGCCCAGAGCCUGAAUCAGCAUGUGUGUUAGUGGAAGCGUCUGGAAAGGCGCGCGAUACAGGGUGACAGCCCCGUACACAAAAGCGCAUGUGCUGUGAGCUCGAUGAGUAGGGCGGGACACGUGGUAUCCUGUCUGAAUAUGGGGGGACCAUCCUCCAAGGCUAAAUACUCCUGACUGACCGAUAGUGAACCAGUACCGUGAGGGAAAGGCGAAAAGAACCCCGGCGAGGGGAGUGAAAAAGAACCUGAAACCGUGUACGUACAAGCAGUGGGAGCCCCACCACCAAAGCAUUCUCUGGUGUUGAAGGCCCUGCAAAGCAGCAUCGCGGUGGCGGAGCGUCGUUUGCGACGCCCAACACACAAAACAAGCGGUGAGUGCUUUGGGGUGGGGUGACUGCGUACCUUUUGUAUAAUGGGUCAGCGACUUAUAUUCUGUAGCAAGGUUAACCGAAUAGGGGAGCCGGAGGGAAACCGAGUCUUAAUUGGGCGUUAAGUUGCAGGGUAUAGACCCGAAACCCGGUGAUCUAGCCAUGGGCAGGUUGAAGGUUGGGUAACACUAACUGGAGGACCGAACCGACUAAUGUUGAAAAAUUAGCGGAUGACCUGUGGCUGGGGGUGAAAGGCCAAUCAAACCGGGAGAUAGCUGGUUCUCCCCGAAAGCUAUUUAGGUAGCGCCUCGUGAAUUCAUCUCCGGGGGUAGAGCACUGUUUCGGCUAGGGGGUCAUC
rnacentral:rRNA from 1 species